ensembl:lncRNA
AUGAGUAUGGUACUUUAAUCAGAAUUCAAGUGGUGUAACUAUUCCAAUGGAUAAAAUGAUACAGAGGGGUUCCAUAAACAGGAAGUAGUAUUAUACAGUACAGGAAGUAGUAUUAUACAGUACAGAGGUUCCAUAAACAGGAAGUAGUAUUAUACAGUACAGAGAGGUUCCAUAAACAGGAAGUAGUAUUAUACAGUACAGAGGGGUUCCAUAAACAGGAAGUAGUAUUAUACAGUACAGAGAGGUUCCAUAAACAGGAAGUAGUAUUAUACAGUACAGAGAGGUUCCAUAAACAGGAAGUAGUAUUAUACCGUACAGAGAGAUUCCAUAAACAGGAAGUAGUAUUAUACAGUACAGAGAGGUUCCAUAUACAGGAAGUAGUAUUAUACAGUACAGAGGUUCCAUAAACAGGAAGUAGUAUUAUACAGUACAGAGAGGUUCCAUAAACAGGAAGUAGUAUUAUACAGUACAGAGAGGUUCCAUAAACAGGAAGUAGUAUUAUACAGUACAGAGAGGUUCCAUAAACAGGAAGUAGUAUUAUACAGUACAGAGAGGUUCCAUAAACAGGAAGUAGUAUUAUACAGUACAGAGAGGUUCCAUAAACAGGAAGUAGUAUUAUACAGUACAGAGGGGUUCCAUAAACAGGACGUAGUAAAAUACAGUACAGAGGGGUUCCAUAAACAGGAAGUAGUAUUAUACAGUACAGAGAGGUUCCAUAAACAGGAAGUAGUAUUAUACAGUACAGAGGGGUUCCAUAAACAGGACGUAGUAAAAUACAGUACAGAGGGGUUCCAUAAACAGGAAGUAGUAUUAUACAGUACAGAGAGGUUCCAUAUACAGGAAGUAGUAUUAUACAGUACAGAGGGGUUCCAUAAACAGGAAGUAGUAUUAUACAGUACAGGAAGUAGUAUUAUACAGUACAGAGAGGUUCCAUAAACAGGAAGUAGUAUUAUACAGUAUAGUCUAACAUCUGAACUCUCUCACUGAGGUUUGUGCCUUUAAUGUACCAGGUAUCCCUCCCUAAACCCUCCAUAGACCCUCCAUACCCUCCAUAUACCCUUCCAUAGACCCUCCAUAGACCCUCCAUAGACCCUCCAUAGACACUACUGUAAUGUCCUCUAUCAGAAUACAUCAACCAUCCAUAGACCCUCCAUAGACCCUCCAUAGAUAUACCCUCCAUCCAUAGACCCUCCAUAGACCCUCCAUAGACCCUCCAUAGACACUACUGUAAUGUCCUCUAUCAGAAUACAUCAACCAUCCAUAGACCCUCCAUAGACCCUCCAUAUACCAUCCAUAGACCCUCCAUAGAUCCUCCAUAGACCCUCCAUAGACCCUCCAUAGACCCUCCAUAGACCCUCCAUAUACCCUCCAUAGACCCUCCAUAGACCAUCCAUAGACCCUCCAUAGACACUACUGUAACCCUCUAUCAGAAUACAUCAACCAUCCAUAGACCCUCCAUAGACCCUCCAUAGACCCUCCAUAUACCAUCCAUAGACCCUCCAUAGACCAUCCAUAUACCCUCCAUAGACCCUCCAUAGACCCUCCAUAGACCCUCCAUAUACCCUCCAUAGACCCUCCAUAGACCCUCC